GCAAACCGGAUUAGAUACCCGGGUAGUCCCAGCUGUAAACUAUGCAAACUCAGUGAUGCAUUGGCUUGAUGCCAAUGCAGUGCUGCAGGGAAGCCGUUAAGUUUGCCGCCUGGGAAGUACGUACGCAAGUAUGAAACUUAAAGGAAUUGGCGGGGGAGCACCACAAGGGGUGAAGCCUGCGGUUCAAUUGGAUUCAACGCCGGGAAUCACUAGUGA
rnacentral:rRNA from 1 species